UUGCACAGGUGCUGCAUGGCUGUCGUCAGCUCGUGUCGUGAGAUGUUCGGUUAAGUCCGCUAACGAGCGCAACCCUCACUGUGUGUUAUAUGUGUCACACGGGACCGCCGGUCUUAAGCCGGAGGAAGGUGGGGAUGACGUCAAGUCAGCAUGGCCUUUAUAUCCUGGGCUACACACACGCUACAAUGGCCAACACAAUAGGUUGCUAAGCCGCGAGGUGGAGCCAAUCCAUAAAGUUGGUCUCAGUUCAGAUUGUAGGCUGCAACCCGCCUGCAUGAAGAUGGAGUUGCUAGUAACCGCAGGUCAGCUAUACUGCGGUGAAUACGUUCCCGGGGCUU
rnacentral:rRNA from 1 species